rnacentral:rRNA from 1 species
CAGCAGCCGCGGUAAUACGAAGGGGGCGAGCGUUGUGCGGAAGUACUGGGCGUAAAGCGCACGUAGGCGGAUAUUUAAGUCAGGGGUGAAAUCCCGGGGCUCAACCCCGGAACUGCCUUUGAUACUGGGUAUCUGGAGUAUGGAAGAGGUAAGUGGAAUUCCGAGUGUAGAGGUGAAAUUCGUAGAUAUUCGGAGGAACACCAGUGGCGAAGGCGGCUUACUGGUCCAUUACUGACGCUGAGGUGCGAAAGCGUGGGGAGCA